GUGCUCCCUACGGCAGCACAUAUACUGAAAUUGGAACAACACAGGGAAGAUCAGCAUAGUCCCUGUGCAAGGAUGACACACAAAUUCGUGAAGCGCUCCAUAGUUUU